UUAAACAUUUCAUGCAUAAUUCAGUGCACCUCUCUGUCUCUUCCCUCACCCCUUUCUUUCCUCCAGAUCAACAACUAACCAAGAAAUCUGUAAGAAUAAGGACAGCCAGGCAAGUUUGUUACUUAUGUAGUAACUUCUUUCCUCUACAGGCAUCAUGAUCCUCAAGAGGAAUGAACUCAUGACCACCUUCUCUGCUUAUUAAAGGAGCAUCUUUAUUACUGGCUGUAAUAUCAGAUAGUAAGAGCAAUGGUGUCUGUGGAAGAAAUGGUCUGAGUCCAAGGCUUUGGCCAUACUGUUCAUAAAGCACUACUACCACCAAUGCAAAGUUUCAAGUACUCUGAGAUUACCCUGCAGGUGUAAGAGUGCAUAGAAUUACUGAUGAACUUACCGGGAUUUGGGGUAAAGGCCUUCAACCUUUCUUACCAGAAGGAGCUCUCUCCCUCUCCUGGGUGCCCAGAAGGUGAGAAGGUGUAACCGCUCUCCGCGGCGGAGCGGGGGCGUGGGAUCACUCAAGGAUGUAUCCAGAAGGAAUCACUCACCUGAAGGAAGGUGAGGGUGCUCAGACUGGCGAGGUUUCCUCACGCACUGCCUCAGCUGAAGGGAGAGGCUUCCAGCACAGCCCCACUGCCCCAAGCAGAAUGCUCCGAGGGGGGCUCCCAUGGCCCCCCAUUGAUACCCCGGGUCGGGCUGAGCUGUGCCAUAACUGGCCAUGGUCCACAAGUUUCUUUGGACCAAGGCACCUCACUGGCUGCGGACCCUCUCCAUGCACUGAAGGGUCUUGCCUCUCCCCCCUCUCUCUCCCCUGCUGAGGGGGUACAUGCCUGCACCUGGGGGCACAGCAAAGCACAAAGGGCAUGAAAAUGAGGUGUCAGAAACCAGCGAUCACCGUGUCAAAAAUCUGACCACGGGGGGCUGCUGGGCAGAGUGUA